GCCCCACUGACAGGUCACACUGUUGGACAGGAGGCGGCAGGGUUCUGAUACCUGAUAGGCUGUCAACACCUGGGCGGAGUUACACAUGUCACAUCAGAUGGGAAACAGUCGUUAGUCUGCAGAGCUGCUGCAACUCUACACUGGAUAUCAUACAGCUAAUAUAUAUAUAUAUAUAUAUAUAUAUAUACACACAAAGCUAAUAUACAUUAUCAUAUAUACAGCAUAUAUAUAUAUAUUUAUAUUAUCUAAUGUACUACCCCUCUACUUAGUAUUUUUAUAUUGUGGCGCAGUGGUUCGGACUUUAGACGCUGUAGAAGAUACAACGCAGCCACUAGCUCAAAUACAAACAGGUAACACACAGAACGGUCUACAAACAGUGUGAAUGUGCUUCUAGUGACUGUCUGUGUGAAAGUCUCUGAUAAUGUUUAACACUGAGAGGGAGGAGCUAACAGUUACAUAGGAAGAGUUAGAUGAAGGUGUUUGAGGAAGGUGUUUGAGGAAGAAGAUGAAGGUGUUUGAGGAAGGUGUUUGAGGAAGAAGAUGAAGGUGUUUGAGGGAGAAGAUAAAGGUGUUUGAGGAAGAAGAUGAAAAUGUUUGAGGAAGAAGAUGAAGGUGUUGAGGAAGAAGAUGAAAAUGUUUGAGGAAGAAGAUGAAGGUGUUUGAGGAAGAAGAUGAAGGUGUUUGAGGAAGAAGAUGAAGGUGUUUGAGGAAGAAGAUGAAGGUGUUUGAGGAAGAAGAUGAAGGUGUUUGAGGAAGGUGUUUGAGGAAGAAGAUGAAGGUGUUUGAGGGAGAAGAUGAAGGUGUUUGAGGAAGAAGAUGAAGGUGUUUGAGGAAGAAGAUGAAGGUGUUGAGGAAGAAGAUGAAAGUGUUUGAGGGAGAAGAUGAAGGUGUUUGAGGGAGAAGAUGAAGGUGUUUGAGGAAGAAGAUAAAGGUGUUUGAGGAAGAAGAUAAAGGUGUUUGAGGGAGAAGAUGAAGGUGUUUGAGGAAGGUGGUUGAGGAAGAAGAUGAAGGUGUUUGAGGGAGAAGAUGAAGGUGUUUGAGGGAGAAGAUGAAGGUGUUUGAGGAAGAAGAUGAAGGUGUUUGAGGGAGAAGAUGAAGGUGUUUGAGGAAGGUGUUUGAGGAAGAAGAUGAAGGUGUUUGAGGGAGAAGAUAAAGGUGUUUGAGGGAGAAGAUAAAGGUGUUUGAGGAAGAAGGUGAAGGUGUUUGAGGGAGAAGAUGAAGGUGUUUGAGGAAGGUGUUUGAGGAAGAAGAUGAAGGUGUUUGAGGAAGAAGAUAAAGGUGUUUGAGGAAGAAGAUGAAGGUGUUUGAGGGAGAAGAUGAAGGUGUUUGU